rnacentral:lncRNA from 11 species
AUUUGUGACUUUAGCAGCUGAUCCAUUUGUUGUGGAAAAUACUUUUAACCAGGUUUUAACCCAGGAUCCUUGUGGAGACAUGUGCUGGUGUAACCCCAGGAAGAUUGGAGGUAGUCUUGCAUUAUAUCAUGGCUCAAUGGGACUCCAUCUUUAAAAAAGAAACCCUAAAAUUAGCUAUUUACUGAAAUAAAUCAUGAAGGAGCCACAG